UUAGAUAUGUAUCUCCCCCUUUGUCAUCAAUAAAAAAAACAUAGACAAAUAAAUAAAUAAAAUAAAAUAAAAAUAAUUAGAAAUAAACAAAAUGAUUUUCAUUGAUUAUGCCAAAAAGACAAAAAAGAUACAACUAGCAUUAAAAAUAAUAAAGAGCUAGGGGUUAUGAGGAGGAGGCGGAGGAAGUUUGGCUAGAAUAAAUUGACACA
rnacentral:lncRNA from 1 species